AGCCAGUUAGCUCAGUCGGUUAGAGCGUGGUGCUGAUAACACCAAGGUCGUGGAUUCAAUCCCUGGAUUGGCUG
rnacentral:tRNA from 1 species